rnacentral:rRNA from 1 species
GUUAAAACAAAAAAGUAUACAGAGGAUGCCUAGGGUGUAAAUGCCGAAGAAGGACGUGAUACACUGCGAUAAGUGUAGGUCAGGCGUGUGUAGCCGAUAUGAGCCUACAAUCUCCGAAUGGGGUAACCCAAUUAGAGUAAUGUCUAAUAUGAACAAGUGUAGUAACUUGGUAAUCGGAAACCUGCUGAAGUGAAACAUCUCAGUAAGCAGAGGAAAAGAGACAGACAUGCUGAUUUCCUUAGUAGCGGCGAGCGAAGGGGAAGUAUGCCAAAAACCUAUGAUAUCUUGUCUUUGGAUUGAUAUUGCAACUCUGUUGUAAUUGAUUGAAUCUGACAGCCUAGUUAGAGGUAUAGAUUCAUUAGGGGUUGUGGGAAGUUAUGAUCUAACCUAAUAUGUUAGAGAUUUGGUCUAGAAGACUAAGAGUAUAUUAAAAUUGUUUGGAAAAACAAACCAGAGAGGGUGAUAGUCCUGUAUAAAAAAUAUUCUUAGCGCCAUUUGAUAAUUCUCCCAAGUACAACAAGGGCAUCGAGAAGCCUUGUUGGAAUCUACCGUGACUACGCGGUAAGGCUAAAUACAUUUACACACCGAUAGUGAACUAGUACCGUGAGGGAAAGGUGAAAAGAACGCUGGAUAAGCGAAUGAAAUAGAUCCUGAAACUGUAUAUUUACAAGGAGUGGAAGAGGUAAUUUAUUAUCUCGACUACGUGCCUAUUGAAGAAUGAUCUGACGAGUUAGCUGUGUAUGGCAAGAUUAAGGUCGAAAGAGAUCGUAGUCGUUAGUGAAAGCGAGGGUGAAAUGCCCGCUAAGUCGUACGCACUAGACCCGAAACCCGGUGAGCUACCCAUGAGCAGGUUGAAGAUAGAGUAAAGACUAUCGGAGGACCGGACCGUUAAGAGAACCAAUCUUUCGGAUGACUUGUGGGUAGGGGAGAAAUUCCAAUCGAACUGGGUAAUAGCUGGUUCUCGCUGAAAUGCCUUUAGGGGCAGCCUCAAGCCAAAACUUAUGGGAGGUAGAGCACUGAAAUCGCUGGGGGCCGCAAGGUACCCCACGGUAACAAACUCCAAAUUCCUGUAUAGUGUUCCUUGGGAGUGAGAAAGUGGGAUCUAAGUUCCAUUUUCAAGAGGAAAACAGUCCAGAUCGUCGUCUAAGGCCCCAAAAUCAUAGCUAUAGUGUAAAGGAGGUGAAAUUACUUAUACAACCAGGAGGUUGGCUUAGAAGCAGCCAUCCUUUAAAGAAAGCGUAACAGCUCACUGGUCAAGUGAUUUCGCGCCGACAAUGUAUGGGACUCAAGCUAUGUGCCGAAGACACGAAUGAUAAUAAUCUAAUAUUGAGUGUAUAAUCUCUAUAAAUUUAUUUAUAAUUUGUAUGUUCAAUAUUAGAGUUAUUAUCGUGGUAAGCGAGCGUUCUUAACGCACUGAAGCAUAGGAGGUAACUCAUUGUGGAGUGUUAAGAAGUGAGAAUGUCAGAACGAGUAACAAAUGAUGUGAAGUGAAAAACUUCACCACCAAAAAUUCAAGGUUUCCUACGCUACGGUUUUCGUCGUAGGGUUAGUCGGGCCUUAGGUAGGUUUCUAAUGGAGCUUACUGAUGGACACAUAGUUAAUAUUCUAUGACCAGUUAUAUGUGCGAUGGAGUGACGCAAUUUGGUAAUUUGAGCGGUUUUUGGCUAUAGCCGUUUCAAUGUUUAGGCUCUUGUGUAUGUGGCAAAUCCAUAUACCUUAGAAACCCUCUCUAGUAGAGUAAGUUUCUGAGUUGAGACAAAGAAGAAUGUUAGCAAUAACAAAUUCGAACGAACCAAUGUUGCCUAGAAAAGCUUCUAAGCAUAACAUAUAUCUGUCCGUACCGCAAACCAACAAAGGUGAAUGAGUAGAGAAUACUAAGGUGAACGGGAUAAUAAUAGGUUAGGGAACUCGGCAAAAAAUCAGGCGUAACUUAGGGAUAAGCCUUGCCUCGCAAGAGGCUACAACAAAAGAGUUGUCACUGACUGUUUAACAAAAACUUAGGUCCGUGCUAAAGCCAAAAGCUGAUGUAUACGGGCUGAUGCCUGGCCAGUGUCGGAAGGUCAAUUUGGAUUGCGCAAGCAAUCUGAUUAAGCCCCGAUGAACGCCGGCAGUAACUAUAACUGUCCUAAGGUAGCGAAAUUCCUUGGCACAUAAGUAGUGUCCCGCACGAAUGGCAUAACAAGUGACAAACUGUCCCAACCAUUAACCCGGUGAAAAUACACAGGGAGUGAAGAUGCUCUCUACCGAUACUAAGACAAAAAGACCCUAUGAAGCUUUACUAUAGGUUGUCAUUGUUUUUCAAUUUUAUUUGCUCAGGAUAGCUGGGAGACUUUGAAAUGUGAAUUUUGGUUCACUGGAGUCGCCGGUGAGAUACCAGCCUGAUAUUGUUGAAAGACUUACUCGAAUGUAACUAAUUUGAGAACAGUGGCUGCUGGGUAGUUUAACUGGGGCGGUUGCCUCCUAAAUUGUAACGGAGGCGUCUAAAGGUAGGCUUAGUCAGGAUGGAAAUCUGACUUUAAAGUACAAGAGCACAAGCCUGCUUGACUGCAAGACCUACAAGUCACGCAGACGCGAAAGCGGAGUCUAGUGAUCCGACGCGACCAUGUGGUCGGCGCGAAGCUCAACGGAUAAAAGUUACUCUAGGGAUAACAGGCUGAUUUUGCCCAAGCGUUCACAGCGACGGCAAAGUUUGGCACCUCGAUGUCGGCUCGUCUUUUCCUGGGGGUGAAGUAGCUCCCAAGGGUUGUUCUGUUCGCACAUUAAAAAGGCACGCGAGCUGGGUUCAAAACGUCGUGAGACAGUUUGGUCUUUAUCUAGUAUCGGCGCGCGAAAAUUGAAAGGGCGGAUCUCUAGUACGAGAGGACCGAGAUCCAUAUACCUCUGGUGUAUCGGCUGUCAUGCCAAUGGCACUGUCGAGUAGCUAUGUAUAGUUAAGAUAACCGCUGAAAGCAUCUAAGCGGGAAGCUGUCCUUAAGAUUAGUUUUCGUUGGGUUUAUACCCUAAAAGUUCCAGGAAGAUCACCUGGUAUAUAGGUCACAGGUGUAAUAUGGGUUAACCAUUUCAGCCAAGUGAUACUAAUCAACUGAAUUUU